ensembl:lncRNA
AUUCAGUGGAAGCGGCGCUGUGGUGGCGGCCGCGCGCAAUUGGGCGUGCGCCUACGAUGCUGAUGCACGUGCCCGCCUGUGUGUCAGUAGGCUGCCGCUGCUGGAAGAGGAGGAAAGGAAGAGCAGAGAGGGAAGAAAGCAGAGACAAGUGCAAGAGAGGCUCGGAGGUGGACGGGACUUGACGUAAAUAAACACGGGAGACAGCUACUACAGUUCUGUCGCAGGACGCUGCAAACAGAGGGUCUUCAGUUCGAGGCUUCAGAGAGACCCACACACAAGGCACACGGCAGCCCCACUACAACCUCCUCAACGACGCCACUAAAAUCAACGUUGAGCUCCGACUCCGCUUGGAC